rnacentral:lncRNA from 1 species
UCGAUUACUUGUGCCCCAAGUAACUUCGGACUUCUCGUUUAUCAAGGACUGUCGUGGAUGGGUUAAGUCCACAUAAGGCUCUUUUUUAUGCCUUGAGGCCAAGGACUUUUAACUGAUCAGAUUUACAUGCUCGAGGGCUUAGAACUUGGAUUUGGUUUGAACACUGAAGAUAUAUUCAAAUCGGAUCCAAGUACUGAGAAAGCCUUUUAAUAAUCAUUUUGCUAGAAACAACUUGAAUAUAACUGGAAGUAUACAACAUAUUUCUAGGCUAAUGAAUGAAAAGACACAAAACAAAGAAGGUCGGGCAACAUUUAACCUUAUCGGGUAAGGCUGCUCGUCCUUCUGGUUCCUAUCUUUGUGGUUUAAGGGUCUGUAUCUUUGUGGUUUAAGGGUCUGAAAGCUUUAGAGAGAGAGAAAGAGAGAGUUUUACAAGAAAUGAAUCGAUACUACAGCAAGGUUGAACAGGGUAGCAGAGCUAUAACAGAGGUUUAAGAGAAGGUUUAUCCCGAGAGAGAUGAAGGCUUGGGCUGACUACAGCUUCGUUUUGAAGGCAAAUCUGGCUUUGAGCAGAGUUUGUGCUUGCAUUUGUUUGUUUGAUUGAGUGUCCUCAUUCCUGGUUUUUCCUUCUCCUUAUAUAGGCAACUCGGCUUGGCAUUCUGUAGCAGCAGCUUUGCCCGAAUGCGGUUUGAGGGUGAUGACUCAUCAGUUAUUUUACAUGUAAUGCCACCAUAAAGUACUUUAUGGGCUGUGUAGCUGUUCAGUCUACACCACUUGGCCUUUGGGUAGGUAAGCAAGUGGUCUUUAUGAGUUGUACCAAGUCAGGAAAGGCCUUGUCUGUUUUUCUGAAUUUCGGCUGGGCUUCGGCUUCAGGCCCUUUUUUGGGCCAACCUCUUUCUUGAGCCCAAAGUUCAAGUUUUGAUCCAAACAGUGCCCCCUUCAAUUGAUAUUUAGCCUGGAAUUCCAGGCGCCAAUAUUAAUUGAAAAAGCUCUGUAUUAAAACCCACAAAUUCCUUGCGUUUGAACUCUCUAAUCCCCUGUGUUCCUAGCAAGAAAUUCCUCCGUAAUUUUUAGAAAUCUCCUAAUCAUCCCAGCCAUUUUCUUCCUUUAAAUUUUUCAGACUUUUCUUACUUUGUUGCUUGAUAAGGUUUUUACCUUCAUCAAUUUCUUUGGUAUCCCCUUUCUUGAACAACUGCAUCAAAUGGCUUCAGGAUCUGGCCAAACCCAACCCUUCUAUAAAUCUGGCGAAGGAAUCGCCACUCUACGUCGUCUACUCAACGGGCUACAUCGCCCUCGGGCAGGUUUGCAUUCCGAGCUAUUCUUUGAGUCGCAUGGGGCACAAUUAUUGGGUCCCGCCUGGAUUUCUCGGGUCCCUUCAGUGGUCGAAAGCAAUAUGCCCAGGGAUAAUUGGUUUUCCCCAAAUCCCUAUUCAACUAGGUUGGGCAUCUCUUCAUCCAAAUGGUCAUCAUACCGACGAGGCUUUCCUCUGAUGAAUGACCCUGCUUGGGGUCAGUGGAUUGACGAAUUAGAGCCUAUCUUUAAGAAGAAAUGGAUGGAUAAUGGUAUCUAUGAAUUACUCAUGCUCUCGAAGAUUUCCAUAAUUCCUAAGCCUGAAUUGCUUACUUCUGCCCUCCUCUUCUGGAAUUCGGGCACGAAUACCUUUGACUUCCGUAUGGGCCUCAUGUCUCCAACCAUUCUUGAUAUGGCCCAGGUCUUUGGAUUAAGGCCCUCGGGCAGGAUAGUGGAUGUCACCCAAGACUGGGCUCUUCCUUUAACUGCUGAAGGCUCGAGUUCCUCCUCAUUUGUCCUCUCCCUGGAAUAUAACUCUGCAACCUUCAAGAGUUAUGGAACCUCUUUCAAGGGAUUUAUCCCUUUUAUAAAGGAGAGCUUUAGGGCAGAGUCUUCUCAUGCUGAUAGAGAUCAAGAACACAUGUACUUUCUUCUGUACUGGCUAAACAAGCACAUUUUCCCCAACAAGUCAAAAGGAGUGAGGGUCGAAUGGAUCCCCUUAGUAGAAGCUCUCUAUAAUUUUGAUGAUAUAGCUACAGGUCCGUUUCUCCUUUCCCAUCUUUAUCAUCUCCUCUUCGAAAUGACUCAAGACGAGCCAUUUGAGACCAACCUGAAUGGGCCAAUCUGGAUGAUACAAACCUGGCUCUAAUGGUACUUUUUGGCUGCAAAUUUGGAGUUUUCGGAGGGUGUGGCCCCUGCCCAAAUCUUGGCUGAAGCUGUCCCUGUAGACCAUUCCACCUUUGCCUGCUUCUAUUUCUUUAGAGUUUGUAGGACUCGAUCAGAUUUAGAAUGGGGUGCAUCGGUCUUGAGGAGAUAUCCUUGGUUCUCUGACCAAGUCUUCCAAGAUGCCCCUGGUGAGGAUGCUACCCCCUUUUGUAGGGAAAAAUUUAUUAGCUGCAUUCAACCGAGAGACUUGGCCUGGGGAGUUCGAGGUAAUAGAUAUGAUCGAGGCUUGGAAGUGUACCAUCCUAACUUCUGCAGCAGGCAGUUAGGAUUUAGGCAAGCCAUACCUGUCCCAUUCUUCGACUCUGUCCAUUGUGGCACCUCAUUCCGGUUACCAACUCCACCUGAAGUGACAUUCCGAGCCGUCCGACGCAGUCUUGAUGUAAUGAAUCAAGCAGCCCGAAAUUCCAUCAUUCUCAAUUUUGAAUGUAUUUCGCUUUUUUCUUCUUGGUGGGAGGACAAAUGGACUAGGAAGUAUGGAGGAGAUUUGAAAGAGACUCACGAUCGCAUCUUCAACCAGCUUUCUCUUAAAUCAUAUCCUGGCUCGGGCGAGCUUGAAAAUUGGAAGGAGAUGAUCCAAGAGAAAAACCGGUCACUUCUGAUAGGUACUUCUCUUUCAAUCUGAUUUUGUUUUUUCUCUGAUGUCCAUCUUCCCUUACUUUUGCUUGAUUCUGCAGCUCCAGUGGAUAUUGACUCGGAAGCCAUUGAAUCAGAGAAUGACUCCGCUGAUGCUGCAGUUCUUCAUGGUGCUGCCGCAGAGGCUGAUAGACGAGAAGCCGGGGAGGGGACGGACGUUUCAAGAUCCAUUGGGGAUUCAGGAGCUGAAAAAACGCUCAAGGCAAUCACUAAAGCCCCCAAGCGAAAGAAAGCGGCCAUGACUAAAACUUCAAAUCCUGAUCCUGCACCGCUUCGGACAACCCCACAACCAACUCUCACUAGAAAGAGUAAGAGGGCAAAGAUUACUAUUCCUCCUAAAUCAACAGUCCCAUCUGCUCCAGUUCCUGAGACAGGCAGAAAGAAGCAACAAUCUUCAAGUGAGUUUCUAUUUUAAACUGCUACCUUUCUCCUUUAUCUAAUUGUCUUUUCUAUCGAUCAACAGGACCUCAAGCAUCUAAAAGGCCAAUCCUUGCUUCCAAGGAGGGACCACUAAGAGCUGCUAUGCUUAAAAAGGCAGAAGAUUUGCAGAACACCACCCUUAGAGAACUUGAGGUAUGAUUUACAUGUUAUAUGUUUGUACACUCCUUACUUUCAUAUAACUCCAAAUCUGAUUACUCUGACUCAGGCUGCAAGAAAGGAAAUGCUCUCUUCGCUCGAGGCUUCUCCACAAUUUACCCGAGAGACAAGUCUUUCCCCCUCCCAGACCAAUCCUGCUGAGGUACUUUUUCUCCCUUUCUACUUCUUGGAUAACUCUCCAGUUUACAGACCUAAUGGCUAAGUUUUUUCACCUCCUCUAUUUGUUUUUCUAGGCUGGCGCAUUUGCCCCCUUGCCUAGUCAUGGCCCUCCUCUGAGAUCUAUGACUUCUUUUACUGCUCUAGAUGCAACCCUCUCCUCUCAAUUUGAUCCGUCUACAGGAGUUAUGUUGCACUUUGUGGAUGAGGACAAUAUCUUAGUGAGCUAUUUAUUUUCUUAUUGAAAUUCUGCACAUUACUACCCAACUAGCUCUCAUUCACGUUUUCUGCAGCCGUCCCCGGUAUAUGAGCCACCUCCCUCACUAGUGGUCUCGGAUAAGGAACCCAUAGUUCCUGAGAUCCCUGUAGCUUCAGAUGCAGCAAUUUCGCAAGUAUUUGCUUGCCCGACAGUUGAUGAACCUCCUUCUCCUCCUCAAGAUCGGACUCAGGUACGGGAAUAUUUUCUUCUUGCUUCUCUCUUGUAAUCUUUUUACUGACAAUUACUGCUUUCUUUGGAUAUCUCUAGGAUGCUGGUACAGGCUCAGGCGCAGCUCUUUCCUCUCCUGCUGGUGGUGAAGAAUCUUCCCCCCAACAAAGAGUUAGUACAUUCUCUGGUGAAACUCCGGGGCUGAGUCAGGUAGAUUUCUUCUCUCCAGAGCCUCUUUUUGCUUCAACCUAUAUUCAGAUUAUCGUGACCUAGUCCUUUGGUUUUUGCAGCAAACUCCAAAAGAAACUUCCCCUCCUCCAUUGGCCCGUAAAUCAAAGCGCCCCCAUCCUCAUUCAUCUUCUGGAGGUACUGAUACUUCCCCAUCUGGAGUUGAGCAGACUAGACAGUCAGAGAUUGCCCCCUCAAUAGGCAUUGUCUCAUCGGAGGAAAUUGUCACGCCGGACCUUCCUCCUUUCCCAUCUUCUGACCCUGCUAAGUUGCCCAAACUCUUUGAAGCGCUCAGGCGACUUGAGACGCGGUUGAAAUCUUCAAGGCAGCCUUCGGCAACCUCCAUUUCUUCAGAGCAACAGUGAAUCUUUCAGGAAUGGGCAAAGAAAGAAUUCACCGCGUCAUUCAGUCUCAAGGCUCUUUGUGACCUUGAGAAAGUCAUAACUGAAUCUUUCAAAACCGGUCAUUUAUCCAAGUCUCAGCACGAUUUUUUUCUCUCUUUCUUCGAGAACUUGAGGGCUCUCAGGGAACAAUACCAGAGAGCGGACAGACAGGCUAACCGGGCAAAAUGCUUUAUGGAGAAAGAAUCAAGCUCCUCUACUCAAGUUACCCGGUUGAUGGAAGAAAGUUUGCAGACCAAAGAAAGGGUUAAAGUGGUUACUUCUGAAAUCCAGAAGUUGGAAGAGCAACUGAUUGCCCUUAAAGCAGAACAAGCAACUCUUCUUGACACCCUUGAACACCAAAUCGAAGGAGUAGAGAAAUCAACUUCAGAGUUAGAGCAAACCAGGUCCCAACUUGUAAACAGCCAUACUGUCUUGGCCGAACCUAGUAGGAUUUUUGCCAUCAUGUGAACAUAUCAUUCUCGAAUAAUCACCCUAUGUGAAGAUGUAAAUUUUUUAGAAUAGAAUGAUUUGUAACUCCUUUUGUAUCGGAAUGAACAUGUAAUUUGCUUCCUGCUCUGCUUUUGAUGUUGUUUUGAAUUGCCUUCGGGCAACUCUCUGUCCUUUUGCUUACUUUCCUCUUUCUUCUACUCUCCUUGUUAGCACCAAUCUUGGGACCUGAUCUUGAUCCCCUGGUCCCCUUUAUGGCAUUUUUAUUCAUGCAGGGGUGUUGGGACAACCUGGGAUCUCCCUUUCUCUGCAGUACCAAAUGAUGAUCCUGGUUUCCCUAGAGUGAGGUUGAUCAUAUUGACAGGCACCUCAGGGAAAGGGUUAGUAUCCACCAUCAUACUGGCUUGAGGCGAGUCCAGUAACAGCUUUCCUUUCACUAUAAGAUCUUGUACCCAAUCCCUAAACUGGACACAAUUAACUAUGGAGUGGUUGAAGGUAUAAUGCAGCUUGCAAUACUUUUUCCCCCUGAGUUCUUCGGGUUUGGGCAUCUUUUUGGCACUGUCGGGCAAAAUUACUCUUGCCCGCACUAGUUCUUCGUAGAUCUCAGGUGCCUUGGUUAAAUCGAACGAAUAACUCUGGUACUUUGGGGGUUUCAUGGGGACGAAACCACUAUCGUUCAUCACGAUCUUCUGAUCUUUGACAGGUUGGACUAACCCUUUGAUCGUCAAUGGUUUGAAAGGUGUGGUCAUUUCAGCGGCACACACAUUUAUGUUUUCUUCAUCAUGGCCACAUUCAUGCUCUGGCCUGGUUUCUCCCACUUCCACAUGGUGAAUAGUGGCCUUGUUUUUGUAGAAGGGAGGAACCUUGGAAGUAUGCUUCACUUGCUGUUCUUCUUGCAACAGCCUCUCAUACUUUGUAGCAGCAAUCACCAAUUCUUGCAGUUCAUUAAACUGCGCGUCAUAAAACCUUUUUCUCAAAGGUAAUUUUAAAGCCCUUUGAGCAAUGGAUAUGAGCUGCGCUUGGUUGACGGGGAAUUGGCAUCUCAUCAUUGUUCUCCUGAAUCUCAUCAUAAAGUCCUCAGUGGAUUCAUGAUCAUAUUGUUUUACUUCCACCAGAUCAUUGAUGGUCAAUUCUGGCUCCAUUAUGUAAAAUUGUUCGUGAAAAGCCAUCUCCAUUUGCCCCCAGUUGGCAAUAGAAUUAGGGGGUAAUAGAGAGUACCACUGAGAUGCUAACCCUGCUAGUGAAUUCCUAAACAACCUCAAUUUGUAAUUCGGGUUGUCUUCAUAUGCCACACAAUGGUUGGAAAAUUUGAAUAUGUGGUCUCUGGAGGACACACUGCUGUCUUCACCCGUGAAGGUUGGGAAUGCGGGCAUCUUGAAGUUGAGAGGAAAUGGAUUUAGUUCGUCAAUAUAUUCAGGAUAUGGCUUUUGGUAAGUGACCCUGAACACUGGGCGAGCCUGCGGCUGGGCGUUUUGAGUCACUGUCCUUCUUAACUCAGCCAAUUCCUCCCUCAGCUACUGAGUGGCUAAAUUAUCAUUAUGACCGAGGAUAGCAGAUUCAAUCUUCGGGCUCCGGUCGUUGCCUGCACUUGCUUCUCUCCUUGUUUCGGGCUUCCUCCAGUUAGAUCCUCCACCUUUAUUGACCAACGGGGGUGGCCUAUAAGGUGGAGGUUUAUCUGAAGUGGUAGUGCCCUCCUUCCCGCUGGUUUCUCCCAUCAUUGCUGGCAUCCCGUACCUCGUUCUUUCUUGUUCGCUCGGCUUCCAAUUAUUAAAUGAUAAUAAUGGGAAGUUGGGAAACUCCUUCUCCAGAACUGGCUUUAUUACCGGUUGACUCCCUUCAGGAAUUACCUUCUUCUUUCCCUUAUCUCUUUCUUCUUCUAAUAGUGGGAAUAAAGGGAUGAUUGGUUCGUUUCUUGUGAUAAUCUGGCUCAUCCCACUUCCUUGAACCCCUUUUGGAGUAGAGAACUCUAAAUCAAGCAUUCUCUGUAGAUUCCCUGUUAGUGUACAGAGUCUGCUCACUUCUCCUUUAGUCUCAAAGGAGAUUCUUUCCAUGCUUUUUAAUACUUGGAUCAUAGUAGCUUGUAGCUCUUCACUAGUUCCCUUUCCUUGUGAUCUAUCCGAUGCAGUCGGGCUAUCUGAGACCACCUGUCCAUAUGGGGAAGAAGGAUUUUCUGCUUGUUCUGCCAUUUGGAGAAGACCUUCCUUCGGAUUCUUUUUGCCCAGUCUAUGGUUUUUCUUUUUGGUCAUGCAAGAUCAAGAAGUUCAAGAUCAGAUCCCACCGGGGGUGCCAAAACUAUGUUCGUGGUGGAAUUUUCCCGUGGGGGAUGUUUCCUGUCCGACGAUCACACAGCUCCCCGAGAGGUUUGGCGUCGGUUGAGGGCUGCUGUCGGGCUUCUGUUUCACUGUCGGGCAAGUCUCGUCAGGCAAGACUAGUCGGGCAAGUCUCGUCGGGCAAGUCUCGUCGGGCUGGGCUGAAAGAGAAGGACAGAGUUAACUUUGAGAGGUGCCUUUGUGGGGCCUUAGGUGUAGGCCUUGAGGCUCACAAUCAAGGUUAACUUUUAGGUGCUCAUGCGUGCCACUGCCAUCUUCAGUAUGGCAGAUGUAAAAUGGAUGUCGAGUUUUAGUUGUAUAUAUGUAUAGUAUAUAUCCAAGAAACCGUGUUAGUUAUAACAGGGUGCCUUUGUGGGGCCUUAGGUGUAGGCCUUGAGGCUUCCCAUAAAUAACUAAACCAGUGCUUGCACACAUAAUAUUUAUUCUCGUGAUUGUAGGAGCUUUAUAACUAUUAUAUUUCUGAUUACCCGAAUCUGAGAGGUAGAACGAACCCAAAUAGGUGCCUUUGUGGGGCCUUAGGUGUAGGCCUUAAGGCUUCCCAUCAGAAUUCAUUCUUAUACUCAGACUCUCUAGAUCGUAUAACGGAAUGAAUCCAAAUGGGUGCCUUUGUGGGGCCUUAGGUGUAGGCCUUGAGGCUUCCCAUCAUAAUUCGUUCCAUGUUCUAACGUUCUACGAUAAUCAUGAUAUAAUAGAAACAAAACUAAAGGUUAGGUCGAUUACUUGCGCCCCAAGUAACUUCAGACUUCUCGUUUAUCAAGGACUGUCGUGGAUGGGUUAAGUCCACAUAAGGCUCUUUUUUAUGCCUUGAGGCCAAGGACUUUUAACUGAUCAGAUUUACAUGCCCGAGGGCUUAGAACUUGGAUUUGGUUUAAACACUGAAGAUAUAUUCAAAUCGGAUCCAAGUACUAAGAAAGCCUUUUAAUAAUCAUUUUGAAACAACUUGAAUAUAACUGGAAGUAUACAACAUAUUUCUAGGCUAAUGAAUGAAAAGACACAAAACAAAGAAGGUCGGGCAACAUUUAACCUUAUCGGGUAAGGCUGCUCGUCCUUCUGGUUCCUAUCUUUGUGGUUUAAGGGUCUGAAAGCUUUAGAGAGAGAGAGAGAAAGAGAGAGUUUUACAAGAAAUGAAUCGAUACUAAAGCAAGGUUGAACAGGGUAGCAGAGCUAUAACAGAGGUUUAAGAGAAGGUUUAUCCCGAGAGGGAUGAAGGCUUGGGCUGAUUACAGCUUCGUUUUGAAGGCAAAUCUGGCUUUGAGCAGAGUUUGUACUUACAUUUGUUUGUUUGAUUAAGUGUCCU